rnacentral:rRNA from 1 species
GGGGAAUAUUGCACAAUGGGCGCAAGCCUGAUGCAGCAACGCCGCGUGAAUGAUGAAGGCCUUCGGGUCGUAAAGUUCUGUCCUAAGGGAAGAAUACAGUGACGGUACCUUAGGAGGAAGCCCCGGCUAACUACGUGCCAGCAGCCGCGGUAAUACGUAGGGGGCAAGCGUUAUCCGGAAUCACUGGGCGUAAAGGGAGCGUAGGCGGUUUGACAAGCCAGGGGUGAAAGGCAAUAGCUUAACUAUUGUAAGCCUUUGGAACUGUCGAACUUGAGUGCAGGAGAGGAAAGUGGAAUUCCUAGUGUAGCGGUGAAAUGCGUAGAUAUUAGGAGGAACACCAGUGGCGAAGGCGACUUUCUGGACUGUAACUGACGCUGAGGCUCGAAAGCGUGGGGAGCGAAC